GACCCUAUCGACAAGUAUGGUUAAGUCAUAACAUUUUCACUGUUACAUCCUGGGUUCAAAUCCCCGUGGGGUUA